rnacentral:rRNA from 1 species
CCUACGGGUGGCAGCAGUGAGGAAUAUUGGUCAAUGGGCGCGAGCCUGAACCAGCCAAGUCGCGUGAGGGAUGAAUGUUCUAUGGGUCGUAAACCUCUUUUAUAAGGGAAUAAAGUGUGGCACGUGUGCUAUUUUGUAUGUACCUUAUGAAUAAGGAUCGGCUAACUCCGUGCCAGCAGCCGCGGUAAUACGGAGGAUCCGAGCGUUAUCCGGAUUUAUUGGGUUUAAAGGGUGCGUAGGCGGGGCGUCAGGUCAGUGGUGAAAUACCGGGGCUCAACCCCGGGGCUGCAGUUGAAACCGGAGGGCUAGAAUUCCGAUGCCGUAGGAGGAAUGUGUGGUGUAGCGGUGAAAUGCAUAGAUAUCACAAAGAACACCGAUUGCGAAGGCAGCUGACGAAUCGGAGAUUGACGCUGAUGCACGAAAGCGUGGGUAUCGAACAGGAUUAGAUACCCUAGUAGUC